rnacentral:rRNA from 1 species
CAGUCGCCACGGUAAUACGGAGGGUGCGAGCGUUAAUCGGAAUUACUGGGCGUAAAGCGUGCGCAGGCGGUUGUGUAAGACAGGUGUGAAAUCCCCGGGCUUAACCUGGGAACUGCGCUUGUGACUGCACAGCUAGAGUAUGGCAGAGGGGGGUGGAACUCCACGUGUAGCAGUGAAAUGCGUAGAGAUGUGGAGGAACACCGAUGGCGAAGGCAGCCCCCUGGGCCAAUACUGACGCUCAUGCACGAAAGCGUGGGGAGCAAACAGGAUUAGAUACCCCUGUAGUCCCUGUCUCUUAUAC